GUGAGCUUUUGGGCAUCUUCAAGUAUCCUUUUAGAGAUCUCCAAGUGUCCUUUUGGGCAUCGCCAAGUGUCUGGUUGGAGAUCUCCAAGUGUCUGUUUGGGCAUCUCCAAGUGUCCUUUUGGGCAUCUCCAAGUGUCCUUUUGGGCAUCUCCAAGUGAGCUUUUGGGCAUCUUCAAGUAUCCUUUUAGAGAUCUCCAAGUGUCCUUUUGGGCAUCGCCAAGUGUCUGGUUGGAGAUCUCCAAGUGUCUGUUUGGGCAUCUCCAAGUGUCCUUUUGGGCAUCUCCAAGUGUCCUUUUGGGCAUCUCCAAGUGAGCUUUUGGGCAUCUCCAGGGUCCUUUUGGAGAUCUCCAAGUGUCCUUUUGGGCAUCUCCAAGUGUCCUUUUAGAGAUCUCCAAGUGUCCUUUUAGAGAUCUCCAAGUGUCCUUUUGGGCAUCUCCCGGAUCUUUUUAGAGAUCUCCAAGUGUCCUUUUGGGCAUCGCCUAGUGUCCUUUUGGGCAUCGCCAAGUCUCCUUUUGGGCAUCUCCAAGUGUCAUUCUGGGCAUCUCCAAGUGUGUUUUUGGGCAUCUCCAAGUGUCUUAUUGGGCAUCUCCAGGGUCCUUUUGGAGAUCUCCAAGUGUCCUUUUGGGCAUCUCCAAGUGCCCUUUUGGCAUCUCCAAGUGCCCUUUUGGCAUCUCCAAGUGUCAUUUUAGAGAUCUCCAAGUGUCCUUUUGGGCAUCUCCCGGAUCUUUUUAGAGAUCUCCAAGUGUCCUUUUGGGCAUCGCCAAGUGUUCGUUUGGGCAUCUCCAGGGUCCUUUUGGAGAUCUCCAAGUGUCCCUUUGGGCGUCUCCAGGGUCCUUUUGGAGAUCUGCAAGUGUCCCUUUAGGCAUCUCCAGGGUCCUUGUGGGCAUCUCCAAGUGUCUUUUUGGGCAUCUCCAAGUGUCCUUUUGGGCAUCUCUAAGUGAGCUUUUGGGCAUCUCCAAGUGAGCUUUUGGGCAUCUAUAAGUGAGCUUUUGGGCAUCUCCAGGGUCCUUUUGGAGAUCUCCAACUGUCAAUUUGGGCAUCCCCAAGUGUCCUUUUGGGCAUCGCCAAGUGUCCUUUUGGGCAUCGCCAAGUGUCCUAUUGGGCAUCUCCAGGGUCCUUUUGGAGAUCUCCAGGUGUCAUUUUUGGAAUCUCCAAGUGUCACAUUUUUGGCAUCUCCAGGGUCCUUGUGGGCAUCUCCAAGUGUCUUUUUUGGCAUCUCCAAGUGUCUGUUUAGGCAUGUUCCAGUGUCCUUUUGGGCAUCUACGGGGUCUUUUGGGAGAUCUCCAAGUGUCAUUUUUGGCAUCUCCAAGUGUUUUUUUGGGCAUCUCCAAGCGUCCUUUUGGGCAUCUCCACGGUCAUUUUUGAGAUCACUAAGUGUCCUUUUGGGCAUUUCAAAAUGUCUUUUUGGGCAUCUACAGGGCCUUUUGGGCAUCUCCAAGUGUACCUUUGGGCAUCUCCAUGGUCUUUUUGGAGAUCACCAAGUGUCUUUUUGGGCAUCUUCAGGUGUUCUUUUGGCAUCUGCAAGUGUCCUUUUGGGCAGCCAGUGUAAACGACCCCAAAAGCUCAACAGAGACUUACCAACGAGGUAAAGAAACAAUCCUGAGUGACAGACAGAAACA
ensembl:lncRNA